CUUACACUUUAUGAUAAGCAAGGGUCCCCUUUGGUCCUUCAGACCCUUGUCAUACUUGCUGUUCUGAAAAAAUAAUAAUAAUAAGUGAAUGUGAUGAUGAACAUGGAACCAAGUUGUCACCCAUGAAUAUUAUGAAUCUUUUGGUUUCAAGUCAGAGACAAUCUAGGUCAAAACUGGCUUAAUUCAAAAAGGGAACUUAGACCCUCGAGUAGCUGAAAAAUAAAGAACUAGUCCAAGCUUUGAAACAAGGCUUAAGUGGCUCCGUUGUAUCAUCAAAAACAUUUUAUCUUCCUUUUUCUCCUUGGUUGUCUUGGUAUCUUGUUUAACCCUAAGGUUGUGUUUCUUCAGAGUUCCAGAAUGACUUCUCACACCUUGAUCUUUCUUAUUCUGUGUAAAUGUCCAGCAAGGAGAGAGAGAAUUGCUUUCCUUAAAGUUCGCUGAGCUAGAAAGCAUUCUCCCCAGAAGCCCCCAGCAGACAUUUCCUCCUUUAUCAUUCACCUGAACCACAUCUUCUGACUUGAGUUAAUUACAGUGAAAAGGCCAAUGGGAUGUGCUGCUUGGCUUAAAGCAAUCAGGGUUCUCCUCUAGAGCUGAGUGGGCUGCAAGUUAGAAGCAGUUACCAGAUGGAGAGAGAACACUGUGUGCUCAGAGGGUGAAGGCAUCAAAAGGCCACUAUUCCUACCAAUGGUAAACAUUGACUAUUGUGAAGUCAGUGACCAGUAGGCCCUGAACUCCCCUCCAUGUGACCCUAGAGCCAGGAUGUUGAAGAGAGCAGGGAGGAGGUGCCGGGAACACUGGGCCACCUCCUACCAUCUAGUAUAGUCCAACAUGUGAGUGGCACCAAUACAAAUGAAAAGCCAUCGAUUGAGCCCAGUUGUGAAUGAUCAUCCUGGCAGUCACUGAAGUAGGAGGUAGAGUCCCAGAAAGGUGUUUAUUUUCUGAUGUAAAAAAGAUGCCUGUCAAGAAGAGGAGCCAUGAAACGUGUCCAGAUACUGAAUGUUGGAAGAGAAAUAGAGAUGAAAUGACAGAAGUUUGCAGGAAGAUGAAACUUUUCUGUGAGGGGAGCCGAAGAGCCUCCCUGAUGGGCAUUUUACAUGCAGAAACUCCUGGGCUUGUGUUUAACUUUAGGAGACAUCUUUUGGGUCUUUUCAAGAAACCAACUCUUUUUUUUU